UAGGGAAUCUUCGGCAAUGGGGGGAACCCUGACCGAGCAACGCCGCGUGAGUGAAGAAGGUUUUCGGUUCGUAAAACUCUGUUGUUAGAGAAGAACAGCGCAUAGAGUAACUGUUAUGCGUGUGACGGUAUCUAACCAGAAAGCCACGGCUAACUACGUGCCAGCAGCCGCGGUAAUACGUAGGUGGCAAGCGUUGUCCGGAUUUAUUGGGCGUAAAGCGAGCGCAGGCGGUCAAUUAAGUCUGAUGUGAAAGCCCCCGGCUCAACCGGGGAGGGUCAUUGGAAACUGGUUGGCUUGAGUGCAGAAGAGGAGAGUGGAAUUCCAUGUGUGGCGGUGAGAUGCGUAGAUAUAUGGAGAAACACCAGUGGCGAAGGCGACUCUCUGGUCUGUAACUGACGCUGAGGCUCGAAAGCGUGGGUAGCAAACAGG
rnacentral:rRNA from 1 species